AAUCUCAUCCCUCACCUCGCGAUUCACAGACCUCACUCCCACACUCUCCUCUCCUCUUAUACACAGAAACUCACAAUCAAAAAAACUUUGGAUUUCAGAUCUGGAAAAAUACAAAAAAGAAAAAGAAAAAAGGAAACAGAUUAGAAAGGGAAAUUAUGAAACUCUUGUUUCCGUCAAACUUCAGUUCAUCUACUUGUUAGUUUUGGGGUUCUUGAGUUUAAGUUGUUGAAGGUUGAUUUUGCCGUGGACUGCUUCCGUUGCUGUUGAUGUCUUGUUGAUCUUCAUUUGGCCCUUUUGUCUAGCCUUUAUUUGGCGUUUCUAGCCAAUUCCUAAGCGAUUAGGUGCUUCCAUAGCAGGUGACAUCGAUCUGUGAUAGCAGUAUAUUCUCCUCUCAGCUACUUGGUGAGCCCCAUUUCAUAUCGGGGUCAUGUACCAUUUGUUUUCUCAUGUAUUGUGUUUUGAGGUAUAGCCGGGGCCUUGUUGCCGAUAUUAUCCUAGCACUCUCUUGUACCCGUUAGAGGCUCCGUAGACAUGGUGUGGAUUGUACAUUGGUAUUGGGAAGAUGAAGCUAAUGAUACUGUAAUUGUAUCACAUGCUCCACUUCUAAACUAAGGAUGUGUAAUGUACGAUUUUGAGGACUUUAAAAUGAAGUAACUAAUGGUAAUGAAUUGGUAUUGUACACA